UACGAAGGGGGGCUAGCGUUGCUCGGAAUCACUGGGCGUAAAGCGCACGUAGGCGGAUCUUUUAAGUCAGGGGUGAAAUCCCAAGGCUCAACCUUGGAACUGCCUUUGAUACUGGGGGAUCUCGAGUCCGGAAGAGGUUGGUGGAACUGCGAGUGUAGAGGUGAAAUUCGUAGAUAUUCGCAAGAACACCAGUGGCGAAGGCGGCCAACUGGUCCGGUACUGACGCUGAGGUGCGAAAGCGUGGGGAGCAAACAGG
rnacentral:rRNA from 1 species